rnacentral:ncRNA from 1 species
CAAAGGUUUGGUCCUGACUUUACUGUCAGCUUUAGCUAGACUUACACAUGCAAGUAUCCGCACUCCCGUGAGAAUGCCCUCAUUUCCCGCCCGGAAACAAGGAGCUGGUAUCAGGCACACAAUUGCGCAGCCCACGACACCUUGCUCAGCCACACCCUCAAGGGGAUCCAGCAGUGAUUAACAUUAAGCAAUAAGUGAAAACUUGACUCAGUUAAAGCUAAGAGGGUCGGUAAAACUCGUGCCAGCCACCGCGGUUAUACGAGAGGCCCAAGUUGACAGACACUCGGCGUAAAGCGUGGUUAAGAUUAAUUUUUCUAAAGUCGAACGCCUACAGAGCUGUUACACGCUUCCGAAGGUAAGAAGCCCAACCACGAAAGUGACUUUAUUACAACUGAACCCACGAAAGCUAUGGCACAAACUGGGAUUAGAUACCCCACUAUGCUUAGCCGUAAACAUUGACAGUAUUUUACACCCACUGUCCGCCCGGGAACUACAAGCAAAAGCUCGAAACCCAAAGGACUUGGCGGUGCUUUAGACCCCCCUAGAGGAGCCUGUUCUAGAACCGAUAACCCCCGUUCAACCUCACCCUUUCUUGUAUAUUCCCGCCUAUAUACCACCGUCGUCAGCCCACCCUGUGAAGGACGCAUAGUGCGCAAAAUUGGCUCUGCCCAAAACGCCAGGUCGAGGUGUAGCUAAUGAAAGGGGAAGAAAUGGGCUACAUUCCCCCAUCACCGGGGAACUACGAACGAGUGCACUGAAACGUGCCUCCGAAGGAGGAUUUAGCAGUAAGUAGAAAGUAGAGAGUUCUGCUGAAACCGGCCCUGAAGCGCGCACACACCGCCCGUCACUCUCCCCAAGCUUCUACAACACAUUAACUAAAACGUCAAAACCGCAGAGGGGAGGCAAGUCGUAACAUGGUAAGCGUACCGGAAGGUGCGCUUGGAAAAAU